UAAACCUGGAUGGAUUUGUUGGUAGUGCAGCGACUGACAGUAUCCAAAAUCUCUCAUAAGAAAUAGCCUCAUAAUAAAUUCUGGUUGAGAGCCAACUAAUGAGUUAAUAACCAUUUAACUUGCUCGUCUAAUGUUUCUUUUUGCAGUGACGAGAGGGUUGGCUGUGCUGAGGGAGAGUUGUACUGAGGGACGUGGAAUGUUGCUCUUUCUCUGGAAGGUUUGAUGUAGCCUUCCUGACAAGUACCAGGGCCCAUCAUAACUAAUGCAGCUGUGAGCUAUGCCUCAAAGCCUGCUUCCAUUGCACCACCUUUUCCUCAUGGCUGAUCUGUCUUGUGAAUUGUAUUCCCCUUUGGACUCUCAAUUCAGAGGUAGAAGAUAUUUCAGCCUUAUGCAUAGCUUGAAACCUGUCUGCUCUGGCAAACGAUACCAUUAAACGCUAAAGAACAUUUCAAUGUGUAAUGGUAUUUGAUGGCAUUGUUUGCAAUAACAUCUCCAGAUUUCACCAAGUCUUAAAGUAGGUGAGGACUUCUACAUGACUGUUACCAAGUAGGUAACUGGGAUGCACCUUAAAUAUCUAGUUUUGUUCUGACAAGUCCAAUUACGUGGGAGGGGAAACUUUUUUCUUUGAUCAGUGGUCCAGCUCUAGUGCCCAAACAAGUUUCCUGGACAUAAAAGAAUUUAUAUUAGUCUAAGAAAAUAUCUCUUCACCUGGGAGGUCACACGGGAAUGGUAUUUCAAAUAGAUAGUCAUGUCAAACAAUUUUUCUUUUUUUACCUAAGGAAUUGAAGUUAUAUUUUGUCAGUGGUGUAAAAAAGGGC
rnacentral:lncRNA from 1 species